rnacentral:rRNA from 1 species
AUUGAACGCUGGCGGCAGGCCUAACACAUGCAAGUCGAACGGCAGCGGGGGAUAGCUUGCUAUCCUGCCGGCGAGUGGCGGACGGGUGAGUAAUGCAUGGGGAGCUGCCCAGUCGAGAGGGAUAACAACUGGAAACGGUUGCUAAUACCGCAUACGCCCUACGGGGGAAAGGUGGGGAACUUCGGUCCUACCGCGAUUGGAUGCGCCCAUGUGGGAUUAGCUAGUUGGUGAGGUAACGGCUCACCAAGGCGACGAUCUCUAGCUGGUCUGAGAGGAUGACCAGCCACACUGGAACUGAGACACGGUCCAGACUCCUACGGGAGGCAGCAGUGGGGAAUAUUGCACAAUGGGGGAAACCCUGAUGCAGCCAUGCCGCGUGUGUGAAGAAGGCCUUCGGGUUGUAAAGCACUUUCAGUCAGGAGGAAGGGGUGAUGGCUAAUAUCAAUCAUCAUUGACGUUACUGACAGAAGAAGCACCGGCUAACUCCGUGCCAGCAGCCGCGGUAA